rnacentral:misc_RNA from 1 species
UGGUUCUGGCAUCGAUGAAGAACGCAGCGAAAUGCGAUAAGUAAUGUGAAUUGCAGAAUUCAGUGAAUCAUCGAAUCUUUGAACGCACAUUGCGCCCUCUGGUAUUCCAGGGGGCAUGCCUGUUCGAGCGUCAUUACAACCAUCAAGCUUAGCUUGGUAUUGGGUGACACCAGCUAAGGGUGCACCUUAAAAUCAGUGGCGGUGCCUCUGGGCUUCAAGCGUAGUAAUCUUAUCGCCCAGGAUUUCCAGUGGUCUACCCGCCAAAACUCCUAAUUUUUUAAAGGUUGACCUCGGAUCAGGUAGGGAUACCCGCUGA